GACGAACGCUGGCGGCGUGCCUAAUACAUGCAAGUUGAGCGCUGAAGGCUGGUACUUGUACCAACUGGAUGAGCAGCGAACGGGUGAGUACCGCGUGGGGAAUCUGCCUUUGAGCGGGGGACAACAUUUGGAAACGAAUGCUAAUACCGCAUAAAAACUUUAAACACAAGUUUUAAGUUUGAAAGAUGCAAUUGCAUCACUCAAAGAUGAUCCCUCGUUGUAUUAGCUAGGUGGUGAGGUAAAGGCUCACCAAGGCGAUGAUACAUAGCCGACCUGAGAGGGUGAUCGGCCACAUUGGGACUGAGACACGGCCCAAACUCCUACGGGAGGCAGCAGUAGGGAAUCUUCGGCAAUGGACGAAAGUCUGACCGAGCAACGCCGCGUGAGUGAAGAAGGUUUUCGGAUCGUAAAACUCUGUUGGUAGAGAAGAACGUUGGUGCGAGUGGAAAGCUCAUCAAGUGACGGUAACUACCCAGAAAGGGACGGCUAACUACGUG
rnacentral:rRNA from 1 species